rnacentral:rRNA from 1 species
CUGACUGCUAUCGGAUGAUACUAAGCCAUGCGAGUCAUUGUAGCAAUACAAGGCAGACGGCUCAGUAACGCGUAGUCAACUACCCUAUGGACGGGAAUAACCUCGGGAAACUGAGUAUAAUGCCCGAUAGAACAUUAUGCCUGGAAGGGUUUAUGUUCCAAAUGAUUUAUCGCCAUAGGAUGGGACUGCGGCCUAUCAGCUUGUUGGUGAGGUAAUGGCCCACCAAGGCGAUUACAGGUACGGGCUCUGAGAGGAGAAGCCCGGAGAUGGGUACUGAGACACGGACCCAGGCCCUAUGGGGCGCAGCAGGCGAGAAAACUUUGCAAUGUGCGAAAGCACGACAAGGUUAAUCCGAGUGAUUUCUGCUAAAGAAAUCUUUUGCCAGUCAUAAAACCACUGGUGAAUAAGGGGUGGGCAAGUUCUGGUGUCAGCCGCCGCGGUAAAACCAGCACCUCAAGUGGUCAGGAUGAUUAUUGGGCCUAAAGCAUCCGUAGCCGGCUUUGUUAGUUUUCGGUUAAAUCCAUGUGCUCAACGCAUGGGCUGCCGAAAAUACUGCAUAGCUAGGGAGUGGGAGAGGUAGACGGUACUCAGUAGGUAGGGGUAAAAUCCUUUGAUCUAUUGAUGACCACCUGUGGCGAAGGCGGUCUACCAGAACACGUUCGACGGUGAGGGAUGGAAGCUGGGGGAGCAAACCGGAUUAGAUACCCGGGUAGUCCCAGCUGUAAACGAUGCAGACUCGAUGAUGCAUUGGCAUAAUAGCCAGUGCAGUGUCGCAGGGAAGCCGUUAAGUCUGCCGCCUGGGAAGUACGUACGCA